UCAAAUCAGGUAGGACUACCCGCUGAACUUAAGCAUAUCAAUAAGCGGAGGAAAAGAAACUAACAAGGAUUCCCCCUAGUAACGGCGAGUGAAGCGGGAAGAGCUCAAAUUUGUAAUCUGGCGGUCUAAGGCCGUCCGAGUUGUAGUCUAGAGAAGUGCUUUCCGUGCUAGACCGUGUACAAGUCCCUUGGAACAGGGCGUCAUAGAGGGUGAGAAUCCCGUCUUAGACAUGGACUACUAGUGCUCUGUGAUGCGCUCUCGAAGAGUCGAGUUGUUUGGGAAUGCAGCUCAAAUCGGGUGGUAAAUUCCAUCUAAAGCUAAAUAUUGGCGAAAGACCCGAUAGCGAACAAGUACCGUGAGGGAAAGAUGAAAAGCACUUUGGAAAGAGARUUAAACMGUACGUGAAAUUGYUGAAASGGAAACGAUUGAAGUCAGUCKCGCCUCUUGGRWCUCAGCCUKGCUUCUGCCUGGUGUAUUUCCUAAGGUGGCGGGCCAACAUCGAUUUCGAUCAUUAGAGAAAGGCUKGAGGAAUGUGGCACCYCCGGRUGWKUYAUASCMYUGGGUCGWAURUAAUGGUUGGGAUCGAGGACCGCAGCACGCCUUAAUGGCCGGGGUUCGCCCACGUAACGUGCUUAGGAUGUUGGCGUAAUGGCUUUAAACGACCCGUCUUGAAACACGGACCAAGGAGUCUAACAUGCCUGCGAGUGUUUGGGUGGAAAACCCGGACGCGGAAUGAAAGUGAAAUGUUGGGAUCUCUGUCGUGGAGUGCACCGACGCCCGGACCAGACCUUCUGUGACGGUUCCGAGGUAGAGCAUGUAUGUUGGGACCCGAAAGAUGGUGAACUAUGCCUGAGUAGGGUGAAGCCAGAGGAAACUCUGGUGGAGGCUCGUAGCGAUUCUGACGUGCAAAUCGAUCGUCGAACUUGGGUAUAGGGGCGAAAGACUAAUCGAACCAUUCUGGUGGUC
rnacentral:rRNA from 1 species